rnacentral:rRNA from 1 species
CAGCACUUCCUAGCAUGAAGUCAGACAAGUGAACCCGCCGAAUUUAAGCAUAUCAAUAAGCGGAGGA